rnacentral:piRNA from 1 species
UUCAAGCCUUCAAUUCUAUUUCUAGUGAUC